rnacentral:rRNA from 1 species
GAAAGCGAUGCUAAUACCGAAUGAUAUCUCAAAAACUUCGGUUUUUGAGAUCAAAGGUGGCCGCUCCAUGGAAGCUACUGUUAGGAGAUGAGCCCGCGUACCAUUAGCUUGUUGGUAGGGUAAUGGCCUACCAAGGCACCGAUGGUUAGCUGGUCUGAGAGGAUGAUCAGCCACACUGGAACUGACACACGGUCCAGACUCCUACGGGAGGCAGCAGUGAGGAAUUUUGCGCAAUGGGGGAAACCCUGACGCAGCAACGCCGCGUGAGUGAUGAAGGCCUUCGGGUCGUAAAGCUCUGUCAAGUGGGAAGAACCUGCCCUGUGCUAAUAUCACCGGGCACUGACGGUACCACUGAAGGAAGCACCGGCUAACUCCGUGCCAGCAGCCGCGGUAACACGGGGGGUGCAAGCGUUAUUCGGAAUCACUGGGCGUAAAGAGCGCGUAGGCGGUCUCUUAAGUCAGAUGUGAAAGCCCGGGGCUCAACCCCGGAAGUGCAUUUGAAACGGAGGGACUUGAGUAUGGGAGAGGGAAGUGGAAUUCCUGGUGUAGCGGUG